UCCUCCCGCACUCGCGCCCCUCUAUCCUCUUCCUCCCCCACCUCGCGCCGCCACCCUUGCCUCCUCCCGUCCCGUCGGACGUCUUCCUUCCCUCCCGCAGGCCGUCCUCCACCUCUUGCAUCUCAUCCGCAUCGAACCCUAGAAACCGAUGAGGAGGCCGAGCCGCCAUCCGCCGCCGGCCGUCGACACCUCCUGUUCGACCACAUAGAGGGAGCACCAGACUAUCGUCCUUGCGUUCGUGCUCCUCCAGGAAGAAGACGACCCAAGGAGACGAAUGAGUUGGGCUCGGAUGUUGCUGGCCGCCGGUUGUCUGCAACAGGAAUGCUCCCCUGCCACGACUUUCUCACAGGUCCUUCCUUUCGUAUCUUCAAGUUGCCGAGUUGAAGUAUCACCCGGGUUUCUGUGACGAUCUUCUGAGGUGGAAAUGCUCUGUUUCUACAAACUGCAGGCGCAAUCUCGUAUUGUAUUGUUAGUGGUGAUUCAGGCAUAAUUUUUCUCUUUAUGCCGUGAUAUUUCUUUUUAAGUUAGACAUUACAAUCUUAGAAGCCUUCCAUGACAAAGAUAGCCCUUUGUAAAUUUUGCUUCUACAAGUAUACUUUUGAUGGCCAUGCCCCCUGAUUGUCAGUAUAUAUUUGGCUUAUGUCAGUAUACUCUACAUAAUAUGUCUGGAUGGGUGUUCUUAUAUGAGAUAUUUGUGGUAAGUAGUUAAAUCACUCCUACGGAGUGUAUAUCUAUUUUAACCUAGUUUGAGGAAUGACCAACCGGAUGGCUUCUGCAACUUUUGGUUCAAUUCUUGGUUAUUUCAUCCUCACCACAUGAUGUUUGUUGUUUAUUCUUCUUACCCGCAUCGUACAUCUGGUUAAUGUUGCUAUAUUAGCCAAUCUAUUUUGGCAUAUGCAGUGCAUCUCUACCUAUGUUUACGUGUCAUCCUUGCCUUACUAAGUUACCAUGGAAACACUCAGGUGUUGUUUUCUCCCAUGUAUAUAUGUAUAUGUAGAUGCCCUCUACUUUGGCACCAUCAUCUGGGAGGGGUUUGUACUAACGAUGGCCCUAUAAAGCACACCGACUUUGUUUUUCUUGAUGCACAAGUGCCUUUCUGGCCUUUCCUCUUUAUCCUCCUUGGUGAGUCUUACUUUUGUCUCUUUAACUGGGCCUUUAAACAUGUGGUUACAAUCGUAUUCGUAUGUUUUGGUGGUUCGGAAUAGUAGUAUCUAGCACCGUGAUAAUCCUGCAUACUGAUUAUCCCUUUUUUGAUAAUUGUCUUUAGCUUUGUAUAUCAAACGAUUCAACAUUUUCGUUUGUAUUCUAGGCAAUUUACUAAUUAUAAAAACAAAUCUUACAAUUGCAGUCUUACAAACAGUUCAUGAGGCUUCCUGCAAUAUUUCUUUUUUGCACGUAUCUAUGAAACUAUAGUUGUUCCGCUGUUUUCCCCAUGUUAGGCCAAGCGGACCAAUGGCAAUCUUAACCUCAUAGGUUAGUCUUAUUCCUUAAUUUAUUUCUUCAUUUUUCUGAUUUAGAUACUAUAAAUUAGUCAUGCAUUCUUAAAGAUUGAAAUGCUGGUCCAGGGAAAACAUCUGGUUAGUCGACAUGAACCUCAUGUUUGAUUGAGUUUGAAAUCUAAUGGAACAAAAACUAGUGAUGUAUAUAGUUGAAUUAAAGUAUGGAGAACCCCAUUCAGUUUGAGGCAAUAAAUAAGGUCCCAUAUUUGAUAAAUUUGCUUGAUUUCUCAUGUUACUUACUGUAGCUCUUAAAUAAGAUCUUGAGAUGUAAUUUUAGAAAAUAGUUGGUACUCACAUGUUUGCUUUCCCUGCUACCGUCUUGCUUUCCCUGCUACUCACUUUCUUUCUUAAUAGUGUAAUUGUCUUUGCUUCAUCUGUAUAGAUGCUAGCUAUUUUAUUAUGAGUUGCUGCUACAAGAGAACUAAUGGUUGAUUGCUAUAUUCACCCUUCCUCACUUUCAUCUAUAUAUGUCGUUGCUUUUUCAUUCUUGCUGAGUGGGUCAAUUACAUUUGAUGAACAAGCUGCAUAUUCCUUUUUAUACCAUUGUGCUCUAUUUAGUUUUGCUUCCAUCAACCAAUAACUGAUUGGGUGGCAUGCCAUGAAAAUGGCGAAGAAAAGCAGUGUGUAAAAUAUUAGAAAGAAAAGCAAAAAGGUCCAUGGAAAAUAUUAAACUUCUCCCUGUUUUAUUUAUAUCGGCAAGAACUUGGGCAUGAUUCCUUCUUCCCCUGAAUACUAAGCUUAUUUAUUUUCUUGGUGUUAGAUUACUAAUGUGGAGAAAUAUAAUUCUUAUUGAUGGUUGCUCGAUGGCGUUGAGCAUCAUGUAAGGUCAUUAGAAGUCAUAGAUGGAUCAACAUAUUCUUCCGCUGCUAAUUAGCAUGUUUGGUCUAUUUUAUUUCAAACAUAUAUAUUAUUCACCAAGGCACCUGCCUACUUUCAUAAUGAUGUUAUAACAUUAGGCGUUAGGUCAUUAGAAGUCAUAGAUGAAUCAACAUAUUCUUCCGCUGCUAAUUAGCAUGUUUGGUCCAUUUAUUUCAAACAUAUCUAUGACUCACCAAGGCUCCUUCCUACUUUCAUGAUGAUGUUAUCCCAUAGUUACAUUGGUGUCUGAAAGUGAGCCUUCUCUUAACUCACUUUAUCUGCAGUAAAUGAAACCUAGAGGUGGAGGGGUUUGGAUGAUCUGUAGUCAAAGGAUACCAUCGAACAAGUGGAUGCGCAAUGGCGCAAGGAGGGUCUCCCCGGAGCAGAGGUAGAGGAUGUUACCAGUUGCAUCUCUGACCUAAAGCCCACCUUGGCAUGGAUGUGACCAGCGUUGAUCCCCAACAUUGGCAAGCACUGUAAGCUUUUUCGUCAGGACUGUACUCAUUCAGGGGAAAGUUUAAUUAGGACUUCGAAACCUCUUUUGUAUCCUUAGACCCAGGUAGAUUGUAGACAAAAAGAGAAAUUUAAAUAAAUUGCCCCUUGCACACUAAUUCUUAGAUCCAGGUUGAUUGUUAUCUCUUCAUUAUAUCAUUAUUACUCGCUCCUUCCUACUUAUUUUUCAGUGAAGAGUUAAAUCUGUCAUGUUCUUGCACUAUUUAUUUUUAUUUUAGCACCAAAGAUAUUGUAUGGAGUUGCUAUUCCUCUAAAGCUUUGUUUUUUCAUCAUAUGAAUCUAUCCAUAUGAUGCGGAGUCCGGCUGCUCUGAGUUUGAUGAGUUCCCUUGUUUCUGCCCAUCUGAUGAUACCGAUGGCAACUGCGGUGCAAGCCGCUUUGAUGAAGAUUUCCUCUUCGACGAGAAUGACUGAACUUCAGGCACAAGAAGGGAACUGAUGCCCUUUUGGUUUAUUACCAAGCUUUGCUUAAGUGUCGUGCUUAGCUUUGGUGCCACUAUGAAAGUGUGCUGAAUUAGAUCUGCACCUGUCCAACCUUAGUGUAAAUUAUUUGUAAUCAGUACUCUCAACCAGUGUUCUAGAUGGAUGAUAGUAGGCAAUGUAUAUCUCCAUAAGACUAC